UACGUAGGGUGCGAGCGUUAAUCGGAAUUACUGGGCGUAAAGCGUGCGCAGGCGGUAAGUUAAGUCUGAUGUGAAAGCCCCGGGCUCAACCUGGGAAUGGCAUUGGAAACCGGCUUGCUAGAGUGUGGCAGAGGGGGGGGUGGAAUUCCGCGUGUAGCAGUGAAAUGCGUAGAGAUGCGGAGGAACACCGAUGGCGAAGGCAGCCCCCUGGGCCGACACUGACGCUCAGGCACGAAAGCGUGGGGAGCAAACAGG
rnacentral:rRNA from 1 species